AUUGAACGCUGGCGGCAUGCCUUACACAUGCAAGUCGAACGGUAACAGGUCUUCGGAUGCUGACGAGUGGCGAACGGGUGAGUAAUACAUCGGAACGUGCCCGAGAGUGGGGGAUAACGAGGCGAAAGCUUUGCUAAUACCGCAUACGAUCUCAGGAUGAAAGCAGGGGACCGCAAGGCCUUGCGCUCACGGAGCGGCCGAGGGCAGAUUAGGUAGUUGGUGGGAUAAAAGCUUACCAAGCCGACGAUCUGUAGCUGGUCUGAGAGGACGACCAGCAACACUGGGACUGAGACACGGCCCAGACUGCGACGGGAGGAAGCAGUGGGGAAUUGUGGACAAGGGGCGCAAGCCUGAUCCAGCCAUGCCGCGUGCAGGAUGAAGGCCUUCGGGUUGUAAACUGCUUUUGUACUGAACGAAAAGACUCCUUCUAAUAAAGGGGGUCCAUGACGGUACCGUAAGAAUAAGCACCGGCUAACUACGUGCCAGCCGCCGCCGUAACAC
rnacentral:rRNA from 1 species